rnacentral:rRNA from 1 species
GUCUACGGCCAUACCACACUCAACGUGCCCGAUCUCGUCUGAUCUUGGAAGCUAAGCAGGGUCGGGCCUGGUUACUACUUGGAUGGGAGGAACAGAACGAGCCCAAAUAAACAAUCUUAUGCUGUGCCU